rnacentral:rRNA from 1 species
AUACGUAGGGGACGAGCGUUGUCCGGAAUUACUGGGCGUAAAGGGCGCGCAGGCGGAUAUUUAAGUCAGCUGUAAAAGGCAUGAGCUCAACUCAUGUAUGCGGUUGAAACUGGGUAUCUAGAGUGCUGGAGAGGUAGGCGGAAUUCCCGGUGUAGCGGUGAAAUGCGUAGAUAUCGGGAAGAACACCAGUGGCGAAGGCGGCUUACUGGCCAGCAACUGACGCUGAGGCGCGAAAGCCAGGGGAGCGAACGGGAUUAGAUACCCCGGUAGUCCUGGCAGUAAACGAUGUAUGCUGGGUGUGAGACUAGCGAUAGUUUCGUGCCGAAGUUAACGCGAUAAGCAUACCGCCUGGGGAGUACGGUCGCAAGAUUGAAACUCAAAGGAAUUGACGGGG